GUUACAUUUGGGUUAUGUAUGCAGAUUUAUGCAACCCUCCCUUUUCAGGCUGCUCGUUACUCAAAGCAACUGGAAAUUUCUCAUCAGCCCCCCCAAUUCUACACUUCACACACAGCUCCUCACAUUCUAAUGUGCAUGAGCCAGCGAGAUUAGAGAGAAAUUGAAUCAAAUCAAAUCCCCCGAAAUUGCACGGAGCUCGGUGGAAAGAGUACAGAUCCAAAAGGAAAAGGUAUCUGUUAUCUAACGCCAGCAUUGCAUCUCAUCUCUCCCGAUUGCCUGGAGACAAUCAGCCACUUGGUGAGAGAGAACAGAGCACUUUAGCUCAGCACAAACCAGGGGCGUUGGCUUGAUAGUUAACCAUGAGGGGCUGAGCCCAGAUUCUUCUCCAUCAAAAAAACUUUUAAAAACAUACCUCUAAAAAUGUGAAAAUGGAAGGAAGGAAGGGUUUGUUGCCACUCGAAUGUCUCAAACUGAAAUGAGCAUCACAUCAGAUACCUACUACCAUUAUUACCAGGCUUACAUGAUGGAAAUCCUCAAACUCAUAAUACAAUGGCAAUUUCACCAAUGACAGUUGAAAACAGCUAACUACUACUAAGUAAACUUUCAUAAUUUGGUUACAAAAUCAUUGCUGAUGGACCUACUUGAUAUAAACCACAAUAUAUGAUUACACAAUAUACUGUAUAUUGCACCUGACACUGACUUACAAUGAUGUGUGUAUGACGCGUCUGAAUCAUUUAGAUUCAGUGUUCAUUUGGUAGUUUAAUCUGACAUCUCUUGUGAGUGAGCUAACUUUUUAAACUGACUAACGUAAUCAGCUCAGCUAACGAUAGUAGCCUUAAGUUUUGUUUAAUGGAAGCUGUGGUAACUUAGCUGUCAGUGUACAACAUGAAUCAGAAAAAAAAACUUUAUUGGUCAUACAACUUGCCUCGGGUGUUAUCACUGUUUGUAGGACUACUAGACUGAUAAAAUAUUAAACUUUUUGGCUAUCUAGCAUGAGGCUAGGCUAGUUUGGUGUCGCUAGCCAAGAGGAGGCACAACUAAGCUAUCAUUGCUAUUGGUUUAGCUGGCUACAGUGCAAUGCAAAGCACGUUAGCUGUAUAUAUUAUGCUCUGCUCAUAUCAUGUUCGCGUAACUUGGAACUCAUUCAGACAUUUACACACCUUGUUUUCCUGCCUCAGCAUGAGAGGAUGUUUGUGCUUCAGCUUCAACCCCUUUACAGUGACAAACUGCUCAAAGUGGAGAAUUAUUCGGGGCUAAAGAAAAAAUCUUCAGGGCUACAACCGAGAGCGCCCAGACCAGGCCACUGGAGUGACGGGAGAAACGAGCACAGCGGGAAAGCAGAGGAAAGAGAAAGCUGCCAGCACUGCCUCAGUCUUAAUUGAUAUUCCAGCCGAGGAGUCAGAAUAUUCAAAUGUCAGUAAGCUCCGUUAUCUCACUCGGGAGUCGGCAGAGAUUAGGGGAUAGGUGAACGAGGGGCGCCGGGAGGUAUCACACUGCUUAAACUCCUCGCAUGCAAACACACACAAAUACAGGAAUUUGCACAUGUGCAAUCAUGCAUACUGUAUGGCAAAUAUACACAUGCAAACUCCCACAGAGACACCUCUCUCACAAACACACUUUUCUCUCCGUUACAUACAAAAACCUCACACUCUCACUUCGUCAGUCACUGACACACACUUCACGUCCGUAUUCUCAUUGCAUGUUUUUUUGCUUGCAGGGAGGCUUCUGAGUGAAGGCUAUUAGCUCAGUGGAGUCUCUCCUGCUGUCUGUUCGGGCUCAACUACAAAGAAUGAUCACUGUUUCAAAUCAAUAUUGCUGUGGCCCGAUCCUGGCUGUUACACAGAGAAUAUAUCAGCAUCACACAGACACGUGCAAGUUUGCCAUUAUUGUUCAACAUUAUUCACCAAAAAGGAUCAGCCCAUCAGAGAUUAAUGUUUUAGAUGUGGCCUCAUCAAUCAGAAACAGCUUCAAUUGCACAAAAGCACUGAGAACAUGUAACUGGACACAACAAUGCAGGUUUCUCUGUAUUAUUUCUCAAUAUGACAGAUAGUGUUUUUAUGUGAGACUCUGAUAAUGCCUUUUAUCUCUCUACUAUACUGUAAAUUAAUCUCUGCCAGUAUUCUCGGCCUGUAAAAGGGUUCACCUUGAAUACCCUGGUGUUCACAACUAGUGUCCACAAAGCAUGCUUGUUUGUUUGUCAAGAAAGCAAGCCAUUGGAGAUUAAAUACACAAAGCACCAAACAGCUACACACUGCAUGUACUCGGGGUUAUAUUAGGGGAAAAUGAUAAACGGUAGCGAUAAAACUGAAAGACACCUGAAAAAUUUUGAAUGAGUCAAACCUUCUCUUUACUUGCAGCCAGCCAAAGUGUCCCCGAUGGCAUGUUGAACAAGACUAUGAAAUGAAUAUCCAAUAUCCAAAGGAAUAUCCAAAAUAGAUAUUGAUGUCUGUUGUUAGAAAACAGUUUAAAAAAACUGUUAACAGUAAGGUCUGUAAAUUAUCCUGACAGUGACACUGAGUUUUUCAUUUUUCAAAGCUUUGAGCACCUUAUGUGAUUUUUCCCAUUUUACUGAGGUUAGGGCCAGAAGGCAGAUGAGAAAAGACCAGAGCACACUGAUUGAUUUGCAGUCUUUAAUAGUGCAAAUAGACCAAUGUCUCUACACUACUGUGUCUUGAUUGGAGUCAAAGGACGACAGAGACAUAUGGCAAACACAUAUAACCUAGAACAGGUGUACAUACGCCAUUGUGUAGUAUUCAAUCCUAUUGAAUGAUAAAUACAGGGGCAGGGAUUACCAGAGCCAAUAUCUGGGUGGGGCAGAAGUCUCGAUGCUUUGACAAAUAAAAUCUCAAGUAUCUGCAUGGAUGGAAGCCACUAGGGAAGGCUGUGAAAGGUUUUGUCUUGUUUUGUUUUGCAGUUUGGGUGAAAUGACCCUUCAAAAUGGAAAGGUUAAAAUAUUAUUUUUGAUUCAUAUUAGAAGUAAAAUGGAAGUGUUGACAUUAAAAUGCAUCAGCUCAUUAUUCAUCAUAAUUGUACUUAUAUAUCAUUUUGCAUCAAAAUGCUAUCCUGCCUAAUACUAGAUAUUCCUGCUGUUUAGAUUCAAAAUAGAUAAACACCAAAUU